rfam:Spirosoma linguale DSM 74, complete genome.
AAAUAGUGGAGACCAGCAACCACCUUAAAACGGGGCGAAGCCGAAAAGCCAAACGAGUAGGAAAAAC